CCUACGGGAGGCAGCAGUGAGGAAUAUUGGUCAAUGGGCGGGAGCCUGAACCAGCCAAGUCGCGUGAGGGAAGACGGUCCUAUGGAUUGUAAACCUCUUUAGGCGGGGAGCAAUGCCGGGCACGCGUGCCCGGAGGGAGAGUACCCGCAGAAUAAGCAUCGGCUAACUCCGUGCCAGAACCCGCGGUAAUACGGAGGAUGCGACCGUUAUCCGGAUUGAUUGGGUUGAAAGGGUGCGUAGGCGGAGUUUUAAGUCAGCGGUAAAAUGUCCGGGCUAAACCCUGGCCGGCCGUUGAAACUGGGGAUCUUGAGUGGGCGAGAGGUAUGCGGAAUGCGUGGUGUAGCGGUGAAAUGCAUAGAUAUCACGCAGAACUCCGAUUGCGAAGGCAGCAUACCGGCGCCCGACUGACGCUGAGGCACGAAAGCGUGGGGAUCGAACAGGAUUAGAUACCCGUGUAGUC
rnacentral:rRNA from 1 species